UGCAGUCGAACGGUGACCCUGGAGCAUGCUCCGGGCGAUCAGUGGCGAACGGGUGAGUAACACGUGAGUAACCUACCCCAGACUCUGGGAUAACCUCGGGAAACCGGGGCUAAUACCGGAUACGAGACGCUCCUGCAUGGGAUGCGUCUGGAAAGAUUUAUCGGUCUGGGAUGGACUCGCGGCCUAUCAGCUAGUUGGUGAGGUAAUGGCUCACCAAGGCGACGACGGGUAGCCGGCCUGAGAGGGCGACCGGCCACACUGGAACUGAGACACGGUCCAGACUCCUACGGGAGGCAGCAGUGGGGAAUAUUGCACAAUGGGCGCAAGCCUGAUGCAGCGACGCCGCGUGGGGGAUGAAGGCCUUCGGGUUGUAAACCCCUUUCAGUAGGGAAGAAGCGAAAGUGACGGUACCUACAGAAGAAGCGCCGGCUAACUACGUGCCAGCAGCCGCGGUAAUACGUAGGGCGCAAGCGUUGUCCGGAAUUAUUGGGCGUAAAGAGCUCGUAGGCGGUUUGUCGCGUCUGCUGUGAAAACCCGAGGCUCAACCUCGGGCCUGCAGUGGGUACGGGCAGACUAGAGUGUGGUAGGGGAGACUGGAAUUCCUGGUGUAGCGGUGGAAUGCGCAGAUAUCAGGAGGAACACCAAUGGCGAAGGCAGGUCUCUGGGCCACAACUGACGCUGAGGAGCG
rnacentral:rRNA from 1 species